UCUACGGGUGGCUGCAGUGGGGAAUAUUGGGCAAUGGGCGCAAGCCUGACCCAGCAACGCCGCGUGAAGGAAGAAGGCUUUCGGGUUGUAAACUUCUUUUGUCAGGGACGAAGCAAGUGACGGUACCUGACGAAUAAGCCACGGCUAACUACGUGCCAGCAGCCGCGGUAAUACGUAGGUGGCAAGAGUUAUCCGGAUUUACUGGGUGGAAAGGGCGUGUAGGCGGGACUGCAAGUCAGAUGUGAAAACCACGGGCUCAACCUGUGGCCUUGAUUUGAAACUGUAGUUCUUGAGUACUGGAGAGGCAGACGGAAUUCCUAGUGUAGCGGUGAAAUGCGUAGAUAUUAGGAGGAACACCAGUGGCGAAGGCGGUCUGCUGGACAGCAACUGACGCUGAGGCGCGAAAGCGUGGGGAGCAAACAGGAUUAGAUACCCGAGUAGUC
rnacentral:rRNA from 1 species